GACGAACGCUGGCGGCGUGCUUAACACAUGCAAGUCGAACGGUGAAGCGCCUUCCUUUUUGGUGGGUGUGGAUGAGUGGCGAACGGGUGAGUAACACGUGAGUAACCUGCCCCCUUCUUCUGGAUAACCGCAUGAAAGUGUGGCUAAUACAGGAUAUUCUGGGUCUGUCGCAUGAUGGGUCUGGGAAAGAUAUUGUUUCGGUGGGGGAUGGGCUCGCGGCCUAUCAGCUUGUUGGUGGGGUGAUGGCCUACCAAGGCGGUGACGGGUAGCCGGCCUGGGAGGGUGGACGGUCACACUGGGACUGAGACCCGGCCCAGACUCCUACGGGAGGCAGCAGGGGGGAAUAGUGCACAAUGGGCGCAAGCCUGAGGCAGCGACGCCGCGUGAGGGAUGGAGGCCGUCGGGUUGUGAACCUCUUUCGCCAGUGAAGCAGGCCUGCCUCGUUUGUGGGUGGGUUGACGGUAGCUGGAGAAGAAGCGCCGGCUAACUACGUG
rnacentral:rRNA from 1 species